UGGGGAAUAUUGGGGCAAUGGGGCGCAAGCCUGACCCAGCAACGCCGCGUGAAGGAAGAAGGCUUUCGGGUUGUAAACUUCUUUUGUCAGGGACGAGCAGAAGACGGUACCUGACGAAUAAGCCACGGCUAACUACAUGCCAGCAGCCGCGGUAAUACGUAGGUGGCGAGCGUUGUCCGGAUUUACUGGGUGUAAAGGGCGAGUAGGCGGUCUUGCAAGUCAGAUGUGAAAUACCGGAGCUUAACUCCGGGGCUGCAUUUGAAACUGUAGGACUUGAGUGAUGGAGAGGCAGGCGGAAUUCCCGGUGUAGCGGUGGAAUGCGUAGAUAUCGGGAGGAACACCAGUGGCGAAGGCGGCCUGCUGGACAUUAACUGACGCUGAGGAGCGAAAGCGUGGGGAGCAAACAGGAUUAGAUACCCUGGUAGU
rnacentral:rRNA from 1 species